GACGAACGCUGGCGGCGUGCUUAACACAUGCAAGUCGAACGGAAAGGCCUUUUCGGAGGUACUCGAGUGGCGCACGGGUGAGUAACACGUGGGUGAUCUGCCCUGCACUCUGGGAUAAGCCUGGGAAACUGGGUCUAAUACCGGAUAGGACCGCACUUUAGUGUGUGUGGUGGAAAGUUUUUUCGGUGUAGGAUGAGCCCGCGGCCUAUCAGCUUGUUGGUGGGGUAAUGGCCUACCAAGGCGGCGACGGGUAGCCGGACUGAGAGGUUGGUCGGCCACAUUGGGACUGAGAUACGGCCCAGACUCCUACGGGAGGCAGCAGUGGGGAAUAUUGCACAAUGGGCGCAAGCCUGACGCAGCGACGCCGCGUGGGGGAUGACGGCCUUCGGGUUGUAAACUCCUUUCGCCAGGGACGAAGCGUUUUGUGACGGUACCUGGAGAAGAAGCACCGGCUAACUACGUG
rnacentral:rRNA from 1 species